UGAAAUCCAAUGGCUAAAACUGUAAAGUGCACCAACCACUCCAAUUCAGAACGAACUUCGUACGAACUUGAAUUGUCUAAUUUCAUAGACCAAUCGAUAUCGGAUUGAGGCCAAAACCUGGGGAACAUAAUAAUAUUGUGGGAGGUGUGAUUUGGUGGGUUUUGAGUGAAAUCCAAUCUCUAGAACGAUGCAAUACACCAACCACUCCAUUUCAUCACGAACUUCGUACAAACCUGAAUUGUCAAAUUUCAUGGACCAAUCGUUAUCGGAUUGAGUCUAAAACUUGG
rnacentral:lncRNA from 1 species